UACGUAGGGUGCGAGCGUUAAUCGGAAUUACUGGGCGUAAAGCGUGCGUAGGCGGUUUUUCAAGCUUGAUGUGAAAGCCCCGGGCUUAACCUGGGAAUGGCAUUGAGGACUGAGAGGCUAGAGUGCGGCAGAGGGAGGUGGAAUUCCACGUGUAGCAGUGAAAUGCGUAGAGAUGUGGAGGAACACCGAUGGCGAAGGCAGCCUCCUGGGCCGACACUGACGCUGAUGCACGAAAGCGUGGGGAGCAAACAGG
rnacentral:rRNA from 1 species